GGCGGGGCGCCCGGCUGCGGUCCCCCGCCGAGCCCGCGGGAGGAGACGGCCGGGGGCGCCCGGCGCGACCGGAGGGAUGGCGACUGCCGGCUUCGCAGCAGGCGGGGCGGUUUCCAGGGGAGCCGGGGCGGGGGGCGCGCUGUCCUGUCAGGCUGAGGGGAGCGGCGGAGCCCGGGCGGCGGCGGCACCGGCACCGGCCCGGCGGCGGGGCCCCAGCGGCCGCUGAGGCGCAGGGCCCGGGCCGUGGCCGGCCCGAAGCCUGUCAGGAGCUGGCGAGCCGCUGGACGGGACGGGCCUGGCCCGGCGUAACCCGCCGGGGCGGUGGAGCCGCCGCCGCCGCCGCCUCCUCCCUUCGGGAGGCUUGAGCCGGCGGACGAGGGUGCGCUUCGGUAAGGAGUUCAAGGGCAGCGACGAAGCGGCUGCCCCGGGUCGCGGUGGGGUGAAAGGCGGCACCGCUUACAGCCGAAAAGGGUGCUCUGCCCCGGUACCCGGGGGACUGGAGCCUGCCGGCUCUGCCGGCCCGGGUGGGCUCUCUGCGGUCCCUGACAUGACAGCUUAGGCGAACAGAUCCUCCAGGGACAGGAUCUCCACCAUUUUCCGUGGAAAACUAUUUCACAGCCUGAUCCAAUAACAGCAUUUUAGAGGGAAGAAGAAUAGUAUGUAUUGCAGUACAUUGGACGCCUAAAUGCGUUUCAGACUAUUCACAAACUAUAAUCCAAUCCCUUCUCGCUGAUGUGCGGCAAGAAUCACUUCUCUCAUCGCAAAUUGUUGCCCUUUAUUGAACUUAUUACAGUGCCUGCACAUAAGCCCCGAAACCAAAAACUUUGUAAAAGAAAUGUAGCCAAGUACUACAAGCACGGAGCUGUAGGUGACAAAGUCUCAACCUUUUAAUUUUCACACUGACUUGUUUGGCACCGCUGGGCAAGUUAUUUCAGUGCUUUCUGCUUCUUUAACAAAAAAGAAUAGUAUAAUAAAAUUACCCAUCACGUGGCUCAGGCUGUUAGGCUCAAGCAAGCUUUAUCAAAGUAUUUUUAUUGUUUAAAGAUGGAAAGUGCAGGAAUGUUUUAGUAAAGAACAAUAAAUGUAAAAACUAUUAUUCCCCUUUACCUGCGUACUCCCACAUAUUUCUUUUCAAGAUUAAAGCCUGAAAAAGUAUGGUAGAGCAUGUACUUGAAAAUAUAAAAUAUGCAACAAUGACAUUAGAAUAUAUAAUAAGAAAAUGGGCUAUUUAGAUUUCCAAGCAAAAAUUUCCUUACUGUGAACAGCGACAGAUUUUUGGUUUUAUGAGAUACUCGAAAAUAUGGUGUGUUUCAAAGUAGGAACUAUGGUCUUUUUCUCAUCUGACAUUCUCUAUUUGGAGCUUUUAAUCUGUAUUAGCAACAGUACUUCCUCUCCUGUUCAAGAAUCUGCAGGGUCUUUCAAAAGUAUAGUUGUUUUGCUCCAUGAGAUGUAGUUUUGUAAUGUUUCAUAUCCUUUGUUUUUUCAUUCGUUUAAAGGUUGUGAAAGGAUGUAGCCACUUCAUACACUUGUAGGCUAAAGGAGUAUUUUAAUUAAAAACCUAUGAUGUUUUUUGAAAAUGGUAUUUGGAAAUCACUUCCUUUUAUCCUUCGAAAGUAGGAAUAGAAGGAAACUGCAAGAGACUGUCCCUUACCAAACACAUUGUGGGAAUGAGCCAGGAGAUAUGUUUGUUAAGAGUUAGCAUCACAAUUAUAUGAUGACAAAUAAUGUACUUUUCCAUUUCUGUCCUGUACUACUGAUAGGCCAUGUAACUCAGAUACGGUGUCCAAAUUCUGUUGGUCUGAAAAUGAAAAAUAGUAUGUUGAUCUUCUUCAAGCUUUUGUAUGCAUCAUAUCAUCCCCAUUUUGGGAAAACCAACAGAUCGAUCUGUGGCCCAAAAAAGGGCCCAGACUGCAGCAGUUAUAGUGAAUGUCAUAACUCAGGAUUGCAAUGCAUUGGCAGGACUGUUUGGGGAAGCUUGCAUAACAUCUGUUUGCAACAUGCCUGAUUCAAACCAGCACUCCUCCUCUCAUGAACACUGAUGACUUUUAAAAAGUAAAAUAAACUUGGUCGUUAUGCAAGCAAA